rnacentral:lncRNA from 1 species
UGCUACGCAAGGAUCUCACGGAAAUGAUUCAGCAACAGAAUUUGAAAAUGGCCAAUCGACAAACUGAAAAGUGGCUUUGGACAAUCAGUUUCCCCCAGGAUCAGUCUCCUAAGGUUAUGGUGCUUCUGCAAGAAGAUGUGCCGGGGGAAUGGAUCAGGCCUGGAGGACUCCAAGACACAGAUCUUGUAAAGAAGUGAAGGAAAGCUACCACCGAGAUUCCGCUCAGCUCCAUCAGGCUGAUCCACUUCAAAUGCCACGGAUAUUUUUGAAAAUAAAGUAAGUGGCUUGAUUUUUCA